rnacentral:rRNA from 2 species
UGGGGAAUAUUGCACAAUGGGCGAAAGCCUGAUGCAGCAACGCCGCGUGAGGGAUGACGGCCUUCGGGUUGUAAACCUCUUUUAGCAGGGAAGAAGCGAAAGUGACGGUACCUGCAGAAAAAGCGCCGGCUAACUACGUG